UGCCCAGAUGAUGAGAACCGUGGAUAGGAAGUGCCGUCAGAUGCGAGAACUGACGAUGCCUUUCACGGGGUCUGACU